rnacentral:pre_miRNA from 1 species
GAUUUCAACUGAAAAAGUCAUCAACAACAAAGUUGUAUAACUCAUCGAGAUCUAUAACUUUUAUUUUGGUCAUUUCUUCAUCCGAUAAAGUAAUAGUAGCAUUGUUCAUAAAUUUACAUCUCUCAUUUGGUUUUAUAAACUAUAAAAGAGAUGUAAAUUUUAUGAACAAUAUUACUAUCACUUUAUCGGAUAAAGAAAUGACCAAAAUAAAAGUUAUAUGUCUUGAUGAGUUCUACAACUUUUAUGUUCAUAACUUUUUCAACUGAAGUU